UUACAAGGAAUUGAAUUUCUUGAGUAUUCUCCUAAAAAGGCAUUAUGGGAAAUGCAAAUUUCUCAUCGAAGUUUGCUUAUUUGGUUUGCUGCAUGGAACUUUCUUAAUAUAACUUAUGUUCAAUUCAUUUCGAUAAAAUGCAUAGAUUGUUGUCUAAGCCCAUAAAAUCUUCUGUGCUAAUAGGCGUGCAAGUUAAAGCACACAUGCUUUACAUUUAAUGGCAGGGAUUACCUUCAUAUUUUAUGUUAAUAUUUUUGCUUUAGUUACAGCUCUAUAAAUACGGCAUUAAAUUAAUAUGCUUUUCUGGGGAUUACAUGCGUUAGAGUUCUGCAUUAUUGCAGCAAUACUUCAAUUCGCUGAGGAUGGUGCUCGAUAAUUGCUUGCUUCAACACCUUUACUAACUUAAUGGAUAUGGAAGUAACCGUUCCAAAAGUGCUCUCUUAGUUCAAUUAACCCCUCGUUAAUUUAGUCUGACAUAACUCUGAUGUAUCACUGAUUAGGAACCGUCUUUAAUAAACCAGCGUGCAGCAGUUUCGUAGUGAUCUAUACAAUAAAUAAGAAGUUCACAUGCUUGUAUGCUCUGAAACUACGAAGACGGAAAUUCUGGCCACUCCAAUAUUUAUUGCAUCCGUUUGAGGUUAAGAAUCUCGUUCUGUAAGGUAAAAGUAGUUAUAACAUUUGUGUCAAAUGAGAAAAUAAAAAAAAAAAAAAUUAAUCUUUUCUUAUAAAUUGAUUCUCUAUCUAAUAUUACGCUAAUUACGUGAUUUAAACAUUGCCAAGUUAUAUCCCUUACAUUGAGAUUAUUAUCGGAAGUCUUUCAUGUAAUUUGUACAAAGCAAACUCAAUCAUUAAAUGAGUUACACGAUUUGUUUUUUGCGUGGGUCUUAAAAAUCCUGUCUCUUCCCAUCUGCUUUUGAAAAUAUUAUGUGUUGAUGAAAUUAAUUGAAGUUUGGGUUGCUCUCCCAUUGUUCCAAGCUCAACCCAUUUAUUAAAUUCGAAUAUGUUUUUCAAGAUCUUCAAGAAGUAUAUUUACGCGGGUUCCUCCUAUUUAAUCAUCACCGAAGGAUGAGGGCUAUAUUCAUUUUGUCCAAAGGUUUGCAACGCCCAGAAGCAAGCA